UCAGCCUCAUGAAGGUCUCAUCACCUAAACAGAAACAAGGUAUUGCUGGAGCUGCCUGCUUUUUGCUGUCUUGUAAUGCGGAGCUGAUUCUAACAGUAGCGAAAUUGUUAAAACUUUGUAUUGUAUUUUCGGAAAUAAAGACAGUGCUUUAUACAAACUGUCUUGAAGAUAAGGCAAAUACUUACUUAACUUAGGCCUAUUAAGUUACAACUUAGGUUUUAAUCGUAGGCCUAACUGACGGAUGUGGUUCAGAUUUUAUGAAAUGCAAGUGGCUCGUCAAAUGUUCUUUUAUAAAAUAAAUUACCAGGGCCUAAAAUUAAGAGUAGGCUCUGGCAAAGUAUAUACACAUUUAAAUUGUUUCAGGUAACAUAUAGGGCACGAACACUUGUCGGUAAGUUAGCAUAAAACAGUUUGAUCGCAAGGGAUGGAUGAAGGAUGAAUAAAUUGUAUGACUAAGCCGAUAGUGAGUUUGAUCCAGGAAGCUCUGCGGGUGUCAGUAUAAACUGGCUGUAGAACGACAAAGUUACUGAAGUGGCUCAUUCAACUAUGUCUUAAUGAAUUAAAAAUGGCUAGCCUACAUGCAUGUUUGGUUACAUUAAGUCAAAGCAUUAUCUUGAUCAAUUUUAAGACUAAGUUAACUCACCUUUCACCUCUUUGAGACAAAUGAUAUAUGUUAACCCAAUGAACUUGACCACCAUUUUACCUAAAAUUUAUAGCCUAUGCCUCGGCAAAAAAAAUCGAUAACUUAUGUUUAACUUACACUAAGUUAUUAUUGUCUUGUUACAGAUUCCUUGAAGGUGGCUCAACAAAAUGCAAGGCAUCAAAAGUAACAUCUGAUCAGUACGGUUCAAGAAGAAACGAGUGUUGAAUUCUGAUCUUUGUUUUAAAUCAAGAUUACACCUUAUUUGACUCAUGCAUCUUCGGCUAAAGCGACACACCCUGAGUUAGAGGCAGUUAAUCAAAUACUGGCUCGGACAAGCCAAAUCAAGAGGUCUGAGCCAAAUACAAGGAACAAAUGGGACAAUAUUCCUGGUUCUGGAGCCAAGCAACACCCAACACUUGGAAACAAAGACCAAGGAUAGUUAUUUUUAAUUUAACAAUUUAUUCUUUUACUUUACAAAAUUAACACCUAAAUUUUAAAAGCUAGCUUUGGAAAAUAAAUAUGUGUGUUUUAAAAAUAAAACUAUAUUU